AAAAUAAAAAGGCCAAGCCAAAGCCACCACCACACCACUGAACAGAACUUCCCUCUAUCACACGCAAACUCAGCUUCAACUCUCUCUCUCUCUUUUUCUCUCUCCUCGCCGUGAAGUCUGCGAAGGAGAAUCUAUCUUUAUCUCUCACAAUAUUCCGAUCUGUAAUAAGUGAAAUCCGAGUCUGAACUCGUGUGUUUCUUCUCAUCUGAUUUAAUCUUUAAUUACGAACGAUGUUUUGCGAUUGCUGCUUCUACUGGAACCAAGAAAACUCCGAGUUGGAAUGGGAAUCGUCCGAGUCAAAGCCUUUCUCGCUUCCGUCUCCUCUUCCUCGAUGGCCACAAGGCACAGGUUUUGCUACGGGAAGGAUAAACCUCGGAGAGAUCCAGUGGUGAAAGUCACCGAGUUCGAUAGAGUUUGGAAAUGCAGCAAGUCGCGCCGUGGCGGUAAAUCGAGAUGCGCAUCUUUUUACAAACCUGUGGGGAUACCACAAGGUUUCCAUUGCCUCGGCCAUUACUGUCAGCAAAACAACCAGCCGUUGAGAGGCUUUGUCCUUGCAGCUCGAGCCAACGAUCCUGAUAAGAAUGAUCAUCGCCCCGCGCUGAAGAAACCAGUGAACUAUACCCUAGUUUGGAGUCAGAUUCAGACUGCUACUUCUGGUUGCCUAACCCUCCCGCUGGUUACCGAGCCGUGGGAGUCAUCGUCACAGACGAAGCGGAGGAGCCUGGCACCGAAGAAGUGAGAUGUGUGAGAGAGGAUCUCACGGAGACUUGUGAAACACGCGAGAGGAUUCUUGGCGUGGGGUCUUUUAACGUGUGGAGCACGGAACCGUGCUCCAGAGGGAUUUGGUCACGAGGCGUGGCGGUUUGGGUCGUUCUUUUGCUCUACUAAUGAUAAUAACAAAGCCGACAUGAACAUUUCUUGUCUGAAAAACCUUGACCCUAGCUUGCAAGGGAUGCCGAAUCUUGACCAGGUCCACGCGCUUAUCCAGCAUUACGGACCAACGGUCUAUUUCCACCCUGAAGAGACUUACUUACCUUCCUCCGUGCCAUGGUUCUUUAAAAACGGAGCUUUAUUUUACCGGUUUGGUAAACCGGGAGGAGAACCGAUUAACUCAACCGGUUCGAAUUUGCCUGCCGGUGGAAAAAAACGAUGGGGGGUACUGGAUUGAUCUCCCUCAAGAAGACGAGGAAGCUGCAAACAAUCUAAAGAAAGGGAACAUAGAGAGCUCAGAGCUUUACGUCCACGUGAAGCCAGCGCUCGGUGGGAUCUUCACAGACGUUGUCAUGUGGAUCUUCUGUCCAUUUAACGGUCCCGCCACGCUCAAGAUCGGUCUUCUCACCGUACCAAUGAACCGUAUAGGAGAACAUGUUGGUGACUGGGAGCAUUUCACGUUCCGGAUAAGCAACUUCAACGGCGAGCUGACUCAGAUGUUCUUCUCGCAGCAUAGCGGUGGCGGGUGGUUGAUGUGUCUGAUCUUGAGUUUGUCAAAGGAAGUAAUAAACCGGUUGUGUACUCGUCUAAACACGGACACGCGAGUUUCCCUCACCCGGGAUGUAUCUCCAAGGCUCGUCCAAGCUUGGGAUUGGAGUGAGAAACGAUGUUGGGAAGAGCGAGUUUGUGGUGGAUUCUAGUGAGAGGUAUAGAGUCGUGGCGGCUGAGUAUUUAGGGGAAGGAGUGGUUACGGAGCCGUGCUGGCUGCAGUAUAUGAGAGAGUGGGGACCGACUAUAGUGUAUGAUUCUGCAGCUGAGAUUGAUAAGAUCAUUAAUCUUUUGCCUUUGAUUGUGAGGUACUCUAUUGAGAAUCUGUUUCCCAUUGCGCUUUAUGGAGAGGAAGGUCCCACGGGACCAAAGGAGAAGGAUAACUGGGAGGGAGAUGAGAUGUGUUGAAGAAAGAAAAGCUUGUCGCUGAGCUUAACAUGCCUUUGUGUGAAAACAGAGCUCCUCUGUUUCAGUGAAGUGUUGGUGUAAUAUUGUGUAGAUAUGAUGAUGUGAAGUCUUCUUAUUUGAACAUUGGUCCACCCAUUUCCAGUCAUAUAUUCAACUAUUGUUGGCUUAA